rnacentral:rRNA from 1 species
UACGUAGGGGGCAAGCGUUGUCCGGAUUUAUUGGGCGUAAAGAGCGUGUAGGCGGCCUUACAGGUCAGCUGUGAAACAUCGAGGCUCAACCUCGAGACGUCGGUUGAAACCGUAUGGCUAGAGUCCGGAAGAGGAGAGUGGAAUUCCCGGGUGUAGCGGUGAAAUGCGCAGAUAUCAGGAAGAACACCCGUGGCGAAGGCGGCUCACUGGCCCGAUACUGACGCUGAGGUGCGAAAAGCGUGGGGAGCAAACAGG